CCGAUUUUUUUGGAGAUUAAAAUUUGAAUGCUCAUUGAACCAGUGGAGAAAAUGAUGAAAUCCUUCAGAGUUUUGCUGGCAAUCCUGUGGCUUCAGUUAAGCUGGGUGAGGAGUCAACAGAAGGAGGUGGAGCAGACUCCCAAAUCCCUCAGUGUUUCUGAGGGAGCCAUGGCCUCUCUCAACUGCACUUAUAGCAACCAAGCUUCUCAGUCCUUCAUAUGGUACAGACAGUAUUCCGGGAAAGGCCUUGAGUUCCUGGUGUCCAUAUACUCCACUGGUGACAAAGAAGAAGGAAGGUUUACAGCACAGCUCAAUAUGGCCAGCAAAUAUGUUUCCCUGCUCAUCAGAGACUCCCAGCCCAGUGACUCAGCCACCUACCUCUGUGCAGUGAAUAACAAUGCCCUGCGCUUUGGAGCAGGGACCAGACUGACAGUAAAACCAAAUAUCAAGGACCCUGACCCCGCCGUGUACCAGCUGAAAGACUCUAAAUUUGGGAACACCUCCAUCUGCCUAUUCACUGAUUAUGCUUCUGAACUGAAUGUGUCCCAAGUCGAGGAAUCUGAUGUGUUCGUCUCAGGCAAAACUGUGCUGGACAUGAGGUCCAUGGAUUCCAAGAGCAACGGAGCCUUGGCCUGGAGCAACAAAACUGAUUUUGCAUGUGCAGACACCUUCAGGGAGGAGAAAUUCUACUCCAGCUCAGAAUUUCCCUGUGAUGCCAAGUUGGUACAGAAAAGCUUUGAAACAGAUACGAACCUAAACUUUCAAAACCUGUCAGUGAUGGGGCUCCGCAUCCUCCUCCUCAAAGUGGCUGGAUUUAAUCUGCUCAUGACGCUGCGGCUGUGGUCCAGCUGAGGUCAGCAAGACCAGAAGAGCCCCUGCUCCCUCGCUGCGAGCUCCGCAUCGCCGCCCUCCCCCUCUUCCCGCAGAGGGAGUGCUCCCAGCCCACGAGGAGAAGGCUCCCACCGCCCCUCAGCCCCCCGGCAAUGCCACGGACAAGAUCCUGCCCGAAUCUGUGAUGAAGAUUGCUGAGGAGCUGCCAGACUGCUGCCCUGUGGUGUGUCCCCUGUUGCUGCCCGUCACCGGCUGACAGCCAGGGCGGAGGCAGGGCUGCGGCAGCUCUCCCGGCCGUGGAGAAACCCCUCCCCUCCCCACACACUGCCUCUGCUGUCCCGCUGAAGGGGAGCCCCGGGGGGUCUCUCGGACUAGCUCCUGGACAGUGUUGUGAAGAGUUUAUUUUUUUUAAUAGUGUUCAUAAAGAAAUACAUACAUGUUACUCUAUUUCUCAAGAUGUGGGGAAAUGAUCUCAUUACCGAGGCCCUGCUAUGCUGUGUAUCUGAGCCGCGCUGUGUAUAUCCUGCUGCCCAUAGCUUCAUUAAAAGUGAUUGGAAGAGCAGA